rnacentral:rRNA from 1 species
GAACGCUGGCGGCAUGCCUUACACAUGCAAGUCGAACGGCAGCGGACCUUCGGGUGCCGGCGAGUGGCGAACGGGUGAGUAAUAUAUCGGAACGUACCUUUCAGUGGGGGAUAACGUAGCGAAAGUUACGCUAAUACCGCAUAUUCUGUGAGCAGGAAAGCAGGGGAUCGCAAGACCUUGCGCUGAUUGAGCGGCCGAUAUCAGAUUAGCUAGUUGGUGAGGUAAAGGCUCACCAAGGCGACGAUCUGUAGCGGGUCUGAGAGGAUGAUCCGCCACACUGGAACUGAGACACGGUCCAGACUCCUACGGGAGGCAGCAGUGGGGAAUUUUGGACAAUGGGCGCAAGCCUGAUCCAGCCAUGCCGCGUGAGUGAAGAAGGCCUGAGGGGUUGUAAAGCACUUUCAAUCGUGAAGAAAAGUUGCAGGCUAAUACCCUGUGACCUUGACGUUAACGAUACAAGAAGCACCGGCUAACUCCGUG